CGGGAAACCGGGGCUAAUACCGGAUAACAUUUUGAACCGCAUGGUUCGAAAUUGAAAGGCGGCUUCGGCUGUCACUUAUGGAUGGACCCGCGUCGCAUUAGCUAGUUGGUGAGGUAACGGCUCACCAAGGCAACGAUGCGUAGCCGACCUGAGAGGGUGAUCGGCCACACUGGGACUGAGACACGGCCCAGACUCCUACGGGAGGCAGCAGUAGGGAAUCUUCCGCAAUGGACGAAAGUCUGACGGAGCAACGCCGCGUGAGUGAUGAAGGCUUUCGGGUCGUAAAACUCUGUUGUUAGGGAAGAACAAGUGCUAGUUGAAUAAGCUGGCACCUUGACGGUACCUAACCAGANAGCCACGGCUAACUACGUGCCAGCAGCCGCGGUAAUACGUANGUGGCAAGCGUUAUCCGGAAUUAUUGGGCGUAAAGCGCGCGCAGGUGGUUUCUUAAGUCUGAUGUGAAAGCCCACGGCUCAACCGUGGANGGNCAUUNNAAACUGGGANACUUGAGUGCANAAGANGAAAGUNNNNUCCAUGUGUANCGNNGAAAUGCGUA
rnacentral:rRNA from 1 species